ensembl:lncRNA
GUCUGAUACCACUUCUUUGCAGUGUUCACGUUUACUAAGGCACUACCCAAAAGGCGCCACAAGAGGGCACUCCAACACAAGAGAUGAGGUGAAUGAGCAGAAUUUCUGCUGAAAAGAGGCAGAAGGUUCUGUAUGUAGAAAAAGAAACACUGUUGAACCAUGUGUGAAAUAAAUAAAGAAAUGAAAUGAAAGAACAACCUGGUUCUGCUCAAAUUCACCAAUCAGAGGUACUGCCUCAGUCUGCUUCAUCAGGCUGUGUACUUGUUUCUG